UGAGGAAUAUUGGUCAAUGGGCGGGAGCCUGAACCAGCCAAGCCGCGUGAGGGAGGAAGGCCCUAUGGGUCGCAAACCUCUUUUGUCAGGGAACAAAAGCGAGUAUGUAUACUAGUCUGAGUGUACCUGAAGAAAAACGCAUCGGCUAACUCCGUGCCAGCAGCCGCGGUAAUACGGAGGAUGCGAGCGUUAUCCGGAUUUAUUGGGUUUAAAGGGUGCGUAGGCGGCGAUGCAAGUCAGCGGUAAAAGCCCGGGGCUCAACCCCGGCGAGCCGUUGAAACUGCAGUGCUAGAGAAGGCGAGAGGUACGCGGAAUGCGCAGUGUAGCGGUGAAAUGCUUAGAUAUUGCGCAGAACUCCGAUUGCGAAGGCAGCGUACUGGCGCCUGACUGACGCUGAGGCACGAAAGCGUGGGGAUCGAACAGGAUUAGAUACCC
rnacentral:rRNA from 1 species